rnacentral:rRNA from 1 species
GGGUCCUAAGCUGAGGCCGACAGGCGUAGGCGAUGGAUAACAGGUUGAUAUUCCUGUACCACCUAUAAUCGUUUUAAUCGAUGGGGGGACGCAGUAGGAUAGGCGAAGCGUGCGAUUGGAUUGCACGUCUAAGCAGUAAGGCUGAGUAUUAGGCAAAUCCGGUACUCAUUAAGGCUGAGCUGUGAUGGGGAGAAGACAUUGUGUCUUCGAGUCGUUGAUUUCACACUGCCGAGAAAAGCCUCUAGAUAGAAAAUAGGUGCCCGUACCGCAAACCGACACAGGUAGUCAAGAUGAGAAUUCUAAGGUGAGCGAGCGAACUCUCGUUAAGGAACUCGGCAAAAUGACCCCGUAACUUCGGGAGAAGGGGUGCUCUUUAGGGUUAACGCCCAGAAGAGCCGCAGUGAAUAGGCCCAAGCGACUGUUUAUCAAAAACACAGGUCUCUGCUAAACCGUAAGGUGAUGUAUAGGGGCUGACGCCUGCCCGGUGCUGGAAGGUUAAGAGGAGUGGUUAGCUUCUGCGAAGCUACGAAUCGAAGCCCCAGUAAACGGCGGCCGUAACUAUAACGGUCCUAAGGUAGCGAAAUUCCUUGUCGGGUAAGUUCCGACCCGCACGAAAGGCGUAACGAUUUGGGCACUGUCUCAACGAGAGACUCGGUGAAAUCAUAGUACCUGUGAAGAUGCAGGUUACCCGCGACAGGACGGAAAGACCCCGUGGAGCUUUACUGUAGCCUGAUAUUGAAAUUCGGCACAGCUUGUACAGGAUAGGUAGGAGCCUUUGAAACGUGAGCGCUAGCUUACGUGGAGGCGCUGGUGGGAUACUACCCUAGCUGUGUUGGCUUUCUAACCCGCACCACUUAUCGUGGUGGGAGACAGUGUCAGGCGGGCAGUUUGACUGGGGCGGUCGCCUCCUAAAAGGUAACGGAGGCGCUCAAAGGUUCCCUCAGAAUGGUUGGAAAUCAUUCAUAGAGUGUAAAGGCAUAAGGGAGCUUGACUGCGAGACCUACAAGUCGAGCAGGGUCGAAAGACGGACUUAGUGAUCCGGUGGUUCCGCAUGGAAGGGCCAUCGCUCAACGGAUAAAAGCUACCCCGGGGAUAACAGGCUUAUCUCCCCCAAGAGUUCACAUCGACGGGGAGGUUUGGCACCUCGAUGUCGGCUCAUCGCAUCCUGGGGCUGUAGUCGGUCCCAAGGGUUGGGCUGUUCGCCCAUUAAAGCGGUACGCGAGCUGGGUUCAGAACGUCGUGAGACAGUUCGGUCCCUAUCCGUCGUGGGCGUAGGAAAUUUGAGAGGAGCUGUCCUUAGUACGAGAGGACCGGGAUGGACAUACCUCUGGUGUACCAGUUGUCGUGCCAACGGCAUAGCUGGGUAGCUAUGUGUGGACGGGAUAAGUGCUGAAAGCAUCUAAGCAUGAAGCCCCCCUCAAGAUGAGAUUUCCCAACUUCGGUUAUAAGAUCCCUCAAAGAUGAUGAGGUUAAUAGGUUCGAGGUGGAAGCAUGGUGACAUGUGGAGCUGACGAAUACUAA